AGUACAAUUUAUUACCGUCAAAUGAAAAUUUAACGGUUUCCAAAAUUAAGUAAGUUUUUAUGAAGUGAUAAAAUACGCGACCACGUUGCAUCAUUUAUGAUAUUAAAAUGUUUCUUUAACAAAUCAAAGGUACUGGCUUGGCUGUUUCCAAAAAAAACAAGUCGUGAAGAAUUUUCAAAUGUUAUCUUUGUCAGCAAGCAGCAUCGGCU